CCUACGGGAGGCAGCAGUGGGGGAUAUUGCACAAUGGGGGAAACCCUGAUGCAGCGACGCCGCGUGUGGGAAGACGGUCCUCUGGAUUGUAAACCACUGUCCCCAGGGACGAAGAUGAUGGUACCUGGGGAGGAAGCUCCGGCUAACUACGUGCCAGCAGCCGCGGUAAUACGUAGGGAGCGAGCGUUGUCCGGAAUUACUGGGUGAAAAGGGAGCGUAGGCGGGACUGCAAGUUGGGUGUCAAAUCUACCGGCUCAACCGGUAGCCGCACUCAAAACUGCAGUUCUUGAGUGAAGUAGAGGCAGGCGGAAUUCCUAGUGUAGCGGUGAAAUGCGUAGAUAUUAGGAGGAACACCAGUGGCGAAGGCGGCCUGCUGGGCUUUUACUGACGCUGAGGCUCGAAAGUGUGGGGAGCAAACAGGAUUAGAUACCCCGGUAGUC
rnacentral:rRNA from 1 species